ensembl:snRNA U6 U6 spliceosomal RNA
GUGCUCACUAUGGCAGCACAUAUAUUAAAAUUGGAACAAUACAAAGAAGACUAACAUGGCCCUGCACAAGGAUGACAUGCAAAUUCGUGAAGCAUUCCAUAUUUUU